UUAAUACAUUGUAUUUGUAGAAUUGGGAAUCUCUUCGUGGAUGGCAUGUUUAUAGCAGUAAACCAAGACAAUUAUAUGUAAGUACAGUUUCCAUACUCUACAGUACUGAUUUUGUGUGUCUCAAUGGUUGAAUGGUACAGGAAGUUGAUUGGAAUUUAUUUGGCAGAUACAUCUACCAUUAUUAAUGAGAAUCAAGUUGUACUCAUGUCAGCUAUGUGAACAAUUAUAUUUGAAUUUAGGUGUAAUUCAAAUGUAAUUGAUUACAUUACAUUUAAUUAGCAAACUAAUAGCAAAAAGUAAAAUCACAAAAAUUCAAAACGGAAAGACCCUUGUCUAAUGGCGAAAUCAAAAGCUGAAACUCACCAAACGUAUUGAUAACAACUGUCAUAUUCCUGGCUUGAUACAGGCAUUUUCUGUAGAAAAUGGUGGAUAAAUCCUGGUUUUUAUAGGCAGGUAAAUCUCACUUGUAUGACAGUGGCAUAAAAAUCAAGUUAUUUAAUCUAUUUCAUUUUGAAGUAAUCAAUAUUACUUGCAUUAUCUCCUUUAUAAAAUCUGGAUCAAAACUUUUAUGCUUAAUGGUGAUUGUCAGAAGCUCCAGUGAACUUUUCUGCAGAAUUCUUGCAAUUAUAAUACAGACCUUUCACCUUGAGCGCAUGAUACGCCGAUCGCUUUUACAACACAUAAAGUUCUAUAACUCCUAAAUGUUACACAAAAAAUUUAUCAAAAAACUAUAAAGGGAGGUUAUUUUAAUAGAUAUAAAAAAGUCACUACAGUUUCAUGCUCAAAGCACUUUUGAGUAUUGUCUGAAAACUGGAAAUUCCUGUUAACAGGGGUAUAAAAAUUGAAAACAUUACAUAGACAUGCAUAUCAUUAUAUAUGAUAUAAAUGAUGAAAUAUUGCCUUAUAAAUCAAACAGUUGAACUUGAAAUAGAGUCCCAUAAUAAUAAAUUUAGAAUGACAAACUGGAAUAUCUUCAAAUUGGAAGGAACCUUAUAUUAUACAAUAAUUAUUUGUACCUAUCCAACCAGAUAUAAGAAGAUGUGGUAUGAGUGCCAAUGAGACAACUCUCCAUCCAAGUCACAACUUGUAAAACUAAACCAUUAUAUAGGUCAAAGUACGGUCUACAACAAGGAACAUCAAUACAAGCAUUCAUAUGUUAGUAUGUCACUUGGGGAAAAUUGCCUUAAAGAAGUUCUGACUGUCAUAGUCCUUAAAUUAUAUCACAAAAAACAGAACAUUUUUAAAAUUGAUGAUAUAUAGAUGUAAGAAGAUGUGGUAUGAGUGCCAAUGAGACACAUCUUCUUCAAAGUCACAAUUUAUACAAGUAAACAAUUACAAUAGGUCAAAGUAAGGUUUUCAACACUGAGCCUUUCGUCCCAAUUAAAAUAUAUUCAAUAUAGAAAUGUUUUUUAAUGGCAUUCUCUAGUUGUUGUAUGUUGUGUAAACGGACAGAUAGAUGAACACACCGAGAAUGAUAUACAUUAUAAUACCAUAUGUCCCAUCUAUGAAGAAAGCAAAUUAAUUAACCCAGUAAUUGUGGUAAAUUCUUUCUGAUACCAGUAUAUUAAUCCGCAUGUAUCUUUUUCAGGGACGUGAGGUACCUGUGAGAGAUCAUAAUGAUUUUGCCAACCAAGGAUUUAAGGAAAGGAAAGUACUUCUAGGAGGAAAAACUAGUUUUAACUCUGAUGUUGUCAUUUAAUUAUUGACAUAGACUAGAUUGUAUUUAAAAUUUAUAAUUGUUGAAGUAUGAGUGUACAAUUAAAGUAUGUUAUUAAAAGAUAUGCUGCAAUUCUCCUUUAUAUGAUAAGCUUUUGCAGCUUGAUAUAUUGUAUUGAUAACAGUGUAUUUUGGCAUCCAUGUAUCUUGUGUUCUUGUAUAAUUGGGUUGCUGUCUGAUCGAAGUGUCUACCCCACAUUCAUUCCAAAAUGUAUUUAUAAAAUGGGUGAUCAGAGAUUUGUUACUUUUUAUGCCCCACCUAGGGGCAUUUUUUUUCUUUGGUCUGCAUCCGUUUGUCUGUCCUGCAUCAUGUGCAUCAGGUUUAAGUUUUUGGUCAAGAUAGUUUUUGAUAAAGUUGAAGUCCAAUCAACUUGAAACUUAGUGCACAGGUUCACUAUGAUGUGAUUUUUUUACUUAAAAUUCCGAAUUUUGACCCCAAUUUCACCAUCCACUGAUCAUUGAAAAUGAUAGUGCGAGUGGGGCAUUCAUGUACUAUGGACACAUUCUUGUUAGAUUUUAUUCUUAACUGUAAAAAAUGACAAGAACAUGCUAUUAUCAAUUUCCUUGCAGAUAAAAAUGUUGCUAAAUUAAAUCAGUCUUUAACCAGAAAUAAUUAUCCAAAUACAGUAACACCACUUGGGAAAUCUAUUUUAUUAGAAUGUCAAGGAUACGUUAUCCAUAGUCAUAUACAGCUUAUGAAACCUUAAACUUACAAAAAGUAUAAAUAUAUUUAUUAAACAGCAACCCCAUGAAAGAGAAAACCAAAAGUCACACAUCUAUUGUGUAAAGUAGGUGCAAAUUUAUUUCGGUUCUUGUAGAACAUCUAGAAUUACAAUGUAACUAGAAACAGUGUUCAUAUUUGAGAUAAAAGGCACACCUCAUGCUCAUAAGCUGAUUAAUAUUACAUUGUAUUAACGUCUAUUCAGGACAUCAAUAGAAUGACAUAUAUAAUACUAGAAGGUCUACCCAUGAUGCUGAUAGGACAACCAACUAUUGGUAAUUGAAACUCCUUCAACAUGGUUUAUUGUAUUUACUUGAACCUUAUUACAUUUUUGAAUCCUGAAACAGAUGUCCAUGUGGGUAGGUUGUUUGGGUUAAUUGAGUUUUUGUCAAGCCUGCAUAUUUUGUGGCAGAAAGCUUGACAUAGGGAAAGUGUAGCGGCCGCAUUAGCAAACUUUAUAUUUUAGAAGGUUAGAGACCUGCAUGUUAUAUAAAUAUUAUUUAGAUGUCUCAUGUUAUGAAUUUUCUGUCUGUUAUAUAUGUUCAUUGUCCUUGGCCUAAUACUGAAUGCAAUAGGUCAACUAUAUUUAGUUUAUGAAAAUAUUUAACAUUGUACAUGUCAAUCUACCAUGUUUUAUUUUAAGUUGAACUCAUUUUUACGGUUACUUGCUCAAUGUGUUAGUUUU
rnacentral:lncRNA from 1 species